rnacentral:tRNA from 1 species
AUUAGCUCAGCUGGGAGAGCACCUCCCUUACAAGGAGGGGGUCGGCGGUUCGAUCCCGUCAUUGA